AACGCGAAGAACCUUACCUGGGCUCGAAAUGCUAUGGACCGGGGUAGAAAUAUCCCUUCCCCGCAAGGGGCCGUAGUAUAGGUGCUGCAUGGCUGUCGUCAGCUCGUGUCGUGAGAUGUUGGGUUAAGUCCCGCAACGAGCGCAACCCUUACCCCCAGUUGCCAUCAUUUAGUUGGGCACUCUGGUGGAACCGCCUCGGAUAACGGGGAGGAAGGUGGGGAUGACGUCAAGUCCUCAUGGCCUUUAUGUCCAGGGCUACACACGUGCUACAAUGGCCGGUACAAACCGUCGCAAACCCGCGAGGGGGAGCUAAUCGGAGAAAGCCGGCCUCAGUUCGGAUUGCAGUCUGCAACUCGACUGCAUGAAGCUGGAAUCGCUAGUAAUCGCGGAUCAGAACGCCGCGGUGAAUACGUUCCCGGGCCUUGUA
rnacentral:rRNA from 1 species